UACGUAGGGCGCAAGCGUUAUCCGGAAUUAUUGGGCGUAAAGAGCUCGUAGGCGGCUUGUCGCGUCGUCCGUGAAAAACUUGGGGCUCAACCCCAAGCUUGCGGUCGAUACGGGCAGGCUAGAGUUCGGUAGGGGAGACUGGAAUUCCUGGUGUAGCGGUGAAAUGCGCAGAUAUCAGGAGGAACACCAGUGGCGAAGGCGGUGGUCUGGGCCGGAACUGACGCUGAGGAGCGAAAGCGUGGGUAGCAAACAGG
rnacentral:rRNA from 1 species